ensembl:lncRNA
UAUUAAGUCAGAUCUUGUGACUGAGCAGCUGUCAGCUCUGCGGUGGCCUUAAUUAAAGCUCUAUUUAUUACUGAAACGGUCCUUUUGUGGCUGUUGAUUUUAGGGAAGAUACCAUUAAAAUUUCCUUUGAUUUUAAGAGGCCAGGGCCUCUCAAGGCAGCCUCCCUCUGCUGGGGAGGGCUCUGCAGGACAGCUGUGAGCCCACCUGGGGUGGGGAGCAGGAUGCAGCUCCAGGGCUCUAAGCUGGUGCAUUCACACCAUACCACAGAAAUACAUUGCACUGUAACUUGCAUUCAGACCCAAAUCAAGGAUUUCCUGUAUUACAGAGAUGCAAGCUGAGUGCUCUGCAGAAGGUUUUUGUUGCUUUCCAUGAACAAGAGUGUUUUGCACCCACACCCUGCUUGCACGGGGAUGCUGCUGCAGGAAAUAGCUACACGCCUGCCCACAUCUCCUACCUUCAGAGCAUGGAGAAUCCCAGUGCUUCACUCAGAAUACAUGCAUCUCCCCAGCUCAAUGCACACUCAGAGUGAGUUUAAGGGGUAAUUAUGAAUAAAAAAAGUCCAAUCAGAGUUGGUACAACCCAUUUUCACACUGCUGACGCCAGACAAGACAUCAUGAGGACUGUCAAGUCCCACCCUGUGGGCCAGGGCUGCUGUGUUUGUGGGGCGUCCUCCAGUUCUGGUGGCUGUUCCUUCUCCCUGAUGAGGUGACACUGGGAUUUGGGGCACCUGCAGGGGUUCAGAGGGCACAGCACAAAGGUUGUUGGUCUGUGCACCAUGGAGCAAAGCCCUGCACCUCCACAGCUGCACAACCACCUCCAGAUGGGUUACGGUGUUGCCAACCCCCUGGGAAACCGGGAAACCAGGAAGCACCUCCAAGGUUGAGAGCAGCACAUCCUCUGUCUGCACAAGAGGAAGUUCUGGUCAUAGCAUGGCCUGUGUAAGGACAUGCAGGAAGAUAACCCAGGUGAGAAUAAGGAGGAAGAUGCCUACCUUCCUUUGCUUGGUUCUGCUUUGAGGCACUGGACCUCCAGGGCACAGGUGGGAGGUGAGAGGAUGGUGCAGCACCCCCCUGCUGCUGCCUUCUCUGUAAGGGCUUUGCUCCAGCCUUAUAGGACAACAGCUCAGAGCACCAGGGGCGAUUUCCACGGCCCAGUUUUGCAAUGAGCUCUCUGUGGUUCAGCAAACCUCAGGCACGAGGUGCCCAGGGAACAGGAACCCAGCAAGUGAGGGCUGCAGGCAGCAGCCAGGCCCUGCAGGAAAACGAACUCACUAUGGUACCAAACACCCAAAAAACCAACACGGUUUGGGGGUGUGCCCCACUGCAUGUGCCCAUGGGCACAGCACUGCUCUAGAAAACAAACUCUGUCAGCAGAGAGAAAGAAGCAAAGGGCAAUGUUACCCUCGAUAACAGCUUGCUGCCUCCUGCGCCUCUGCUGAGCAAACCACUGUUUCCUGAAUUGAGGUGUCAGGCAUGAAAUAUUUCACAUACUGGGGCAACCGUCACCAUCUGCUGAGUGACAAACAGAAUUUAAGCCUUUCCUGGUAUUUGAUGCAUAAAUCAGGGCGCGUCCUUUGUGGCUGUUUGUGAUUCCGCUGCUGACAACAGCCCGCAGUGCUCAGGGAGGUGGCAGUGGAAAUGCUCACACUGCCAACAUCCCCCUGGCCCAAACCACAUUCCAGCAGAGCAUUUCCAGAGCACACCUUGCUGCUGCCCUCUGCCUCAUACUUGCUGCAAGCCGAGGUGCUGCCUGAGGGCAUAAGGCCAUGCUGAGGAUCCAAGCUAACCAGUCUUCUUCCUUCCCUCUCACUCUGCAUCCUACCACCACCACCACCACCUGAUCUCCAUCACUCACAGCCCCACAGGUCAGACAGAGCAAGAAUUUAUUUUUGCCAUUACCUUCCAGGCAUUCUUCCGUCAUCCCACCAAGCCCACAGCCAGCAAACGCAAAGAAGAGAUCACCGACCUUCAUGCAGCUCUGCUCCAUUCCUCCAACACAGGACAGGUAACCACAACUGAGGCUGUUCUUUGCUCUCCCCUCAUUAGGCACUGAUUUACCACCUGUUUCCUAUCUCUGUUACCAGCAGCUGCCUCCUCCAGCAUCCCUUCAGCUGAGCUGAGUUCUUGUAAAGUUUUGCUGGUACUUCAGUCAGCUCCUUCUGCUCCCCCACGCUCACAGCUCUGCCAGCACAGCUCUCAUGUUCUGCACACACAGCAGAGCUCCCAGCCAGUGCCCUCUACGCGCCUUCGGCAGCAGAGCUGAGUCACCAUCAGUCUCUGUGUGGCUUUUCUGCCAAAUUAUUUCAUGUUAAAGCCUUAAAUUUGCUAUCUGAGACAAGGCAAGUCACCAAGAGCAAAGCUCCUAGAACCUCUGCCCACAUUUGGGUUUUAUUAGUGCUGCAGCCAUGCACACAAAUGGCUUUAAUUUCUCAAGAAUCCUCCUCAGUGGAACAAUCUAGAUGCAGAAAACCAAAGUAAAAGAGUCCCUCUGCCUCUAUGCAGUGUGGGAAGUGCCUUGGAAUGCACGUUAUUUCUAGAACAAGCACACCAGACCAUUCCUCACUUGUUGAUGAAGAAAACGGGAGGUGAGGCUGAUGAGCAGAGCUGGAAGGAGGUGUGCAGCACCUCUGAACUUGUUGGCCUCCACACCGUUGUCCUCUGUAUAUGAAUGCAUAAGGAAGUAAUGGGGAGCAGAAGCUCCCUUUUGCCUUGUGCCUGGAGCUGGUCCCUGUCCUUUUUGGGCACCCACCAGAGCUGCUCAGACCCUCUAUUAAUGCUGAGCAGAGGCAGUCCUCAGCACCGCCGUGUGGCAGCAAGCAGAGCCAAACCCAAAGCCUGUCUGCUGGAGGGGAAGGUGGGAUUAAGGCCAAGAAUGAGUGCACUUUGAACAAGAACACACAAACCUCCUUAGAUACGUUUCCGAGCCAGGCAUCAGAGGCUCCAGAACAGCAGGGUGGUUGCAGCCCAAGCCCUGGAGCCCAGCCGUGCUCAUCUUUCAAGCUGUGUCCCACUCUGACCUCAGCGGUGCAUCCCCACUGCCGGGACUGCUCUCUGCUUCCUCAGCCACUUCCACCCUCAGGUAGCCGCGCUGCCGUUUUGGUCUGAUUGCAACAUCCCAGAGCGAAUAAAUGGCAACGAGAGCUCUCCGCAGGGCGAGCAGUGCUGUCUGAGCAUGGGAGAGCCCCGCGGUGUGCGAAAACACAUCUGAGUGGCUCUACUUCCUAUUUCCUUUUCCGCAGGACCGAAAAUAAUCACUGCAAAGGUCGCAGGGCCUGGGGCAGCAGCAGCAGGACGGCAGCGGAGCGGUGAUGGUGAGAGCCAGCAUUGCUCAGCCGCUGUGACCGUCUGAGCAGUUUUCUGGCGGUCUGCAACUCACAGCUUUUGCAGGGCGUCUGAGAUACACAGUGGUGAUUGUGGUGUUUUUCUUUAAGAUGAAGGGCUGGGGGGAGCACGGGGUCUGAUCGGAGGGAGGUGGGCAGAGGGCUCCGGAUGGGGGGGACAGGGAUUGUUCCCAUGGCUGGGCCCUGCUGGUACCACGGUGUGAGCGCCUUGCUCGAUCUUGUGUUGCUUGCAGGCAGAGAAAAUGGAACUGUUUUGCAGAAAUGCCCAUUCAAAGACAAAGCACAAUAGGAAUACUGAAGAUCUGUUUUUAAAUAGUGAAAUUAGGUCAUGGUCCAAGGCUCAGAAAUCCUUAGCAAGCAGCCAGUGAUCAGGGCCCAAAGGCAACAAAAGUCAAUAGUAGGAAAUGGGAACUGAAGCAAUAUCUGCUGAUGGGAAAAGAGAAGUGGCCGCAAUGUUUCUCAGAGGGUUUCACCUCCGUGCACUUCUCUUCGUGCACAAUACUCCUUACAUCAAGUGGGAAAGAGAGCAAUCGGAGUCAGAUGUCUGACUGCUGAGGGCAUGGAGGGGACAAGGAAAGGCAUUGUGCAGUGACUGACUGAGGUGGCACCUCACGUGUAAGGACUACUUUUGGUGUGGUGAAUUGAGCUCUGUGGAAGCAAGACACAUCGGUGCAGCAGGCUGGCAGCAGGCACAGCCGUGUGCGUCAGGGUUGGACCUCCUGGACUGCCUCCCUCUAAUGAUGGUUUGUUUUAGAGCAGCCAGGUUGAGUGCAGGGCAGUGUUUGUAUAUCUGCCUUCUUGUGUUUACACACAGAUCAAGCACACAAGUACACCCCAGCACCACAACAACCCAUCUGAAGCGAGCAUGCAGGCACCGCCAGGGCUGUACCCAGGGGAACCCUGGGCUUGGGUUAAUUGCUAUAGUAACUGCCAAACCAGAGCCUCCCACCUCUUCCUACGGCAGCACUCGGUGACUUACAUUGCCCCACAUUGUGCACUGAGGCUGCUCUGCAGCACCUCCUCAUUUGUACGCUCACCCAUCCAUUCCCCAUCUCACCUUGUGGCAGUGAAGUUGAACGAGGAUGAAGCCAAACCUCUCCGUUAGAGGAGGCAAAACCUACUUAUAUCCCUCAAACCCCGGGUUAGCGCCCACUCCCACCUCAUUGAACACAGCAGCAGCAGCGGGGCGGCUGGGAGCUGCAUCCCCAUCCCAACCCCCUGGGCAGGAUGGAGCCUUCAGCCGCAGUGCUGCCGUUCAGUGCCUGCUAUCACUCAUACAGAAACAGCGCCUGCAGAGCGCCGUGCGAGGGCCGACCUGGCGCUCACCCCCGAGCAGCCUGGGAAACGCCGACCACAAACGCGCACUGAAUGCAUCCAAAGCCACAAGCUGCUGCUUUUUUUUUUUUUUUUCUCUUUUCUUCUUUUUCUUUUUUAGCUCGUGAGCUGUGACACUUUUUAUGAAGGCCCUUGUAAUGUAACAGGGAAGAAGAACCGAAAAUUCCCGAGGUGCAUUUUAUGCGGUGCGAAAUAUUAUCUCCUCCAGGUUCAUCUCUUGAAAGCUGCCCUUUGCUGCACUCUGGUUUGAUGGAUAAUGACAAACAUGAACAAAUCUGCUGUGUGUAAGGAGGAGAGGAGGAUCCUGCCAAGGAGACAUCUCCAGAGACCUUUUAUUUUUACCCAAACCUCUUUCUUUUUAAAGUUUUUAGCACUUUGAACUGAAAUUUCAGUACAGCAGCAGAUGUUACUUAUCAAAUCCCUUCUAAAUAUUCUCUGUUCUACAGCAAACUGUAUUUUGAGAUGACAAAUAUGACCUUACAAGGAGCUGGGCAGCUAACUGAGGACCCACUGCCUUGCUGGGGUGAGCCUGGCCUUUAAAGCCCCAUGGUAAGCAAGGCAGCACCUGCUCCUGUUCCUAGAUGCGUCCUGUUCCUGAUGUCCCCAUCCCCCAGCUGGAAGCAGGGAAACUCAGCCAGGUCCCAAGGCCACAGCUCAGGCUCCAUCCCCCAGUGCAGAGCCCCCCACUGCUCAGCCCGGCAGCAGGACGGUCACUGUGGCUGUUGGCACUGCGAGUGCAUUCCAAAACCAACUUCUAAUACACCAGGUGCUUCCAUGAACGCAAAACUCCUGCUGCAGGGAGCGGUUGAACUGGGAUGAGUUAGUCCAGCAUGGGUUGCGUGGAUGAAGCUCUCGCUGAAGGCUCACGCUUGGCACAUUUUGGGGGCUGAAAUCUGGAGGCUGAAAUCCAGCUCAGGUUGCCAAGGCCCCAUCCAACCUGGCCUGCCUUGGCUGUGGUCAUCAGGAGACCCACAGCCACCAGCAUCCCCGGCAACCUCACACAUCUCAUCCAGGUAUGGAGCAAUCCAGCAGUCUUCAGUCACCAGCUACCUCCGGGGCCACUGUCCCUGUGGGCCCUUUGGUCACUGUGGAUGUGGAGCUGCCACGGGACCCCAGAAUCAACUGCUGCAUCCCCAUGGUGAGGGGUGUCCUGGUGGGACCUCACCCUGUGCAUCUCCUGGGUAUGACCACGUGCUGUAAGGGAAGGGACAGUGUUAACACAUUGAGUGUUUUUGUUUUUCUAGUUCAACUUUAAAAAGAAAAAAAGAGAGGAAGGUAAAAAUCAUAUAAGGCUAAAAGGCGACAGCAGUGGGGCUGCAGGCAGAGCCCCGGCAACGCAGAGCACAGCCCUUGAGUGAUGCAAAACACCCUAAAGCACAUCAAGCAAGCAAGAACCAUGAGAUAGAAUUAUACCGGCAAAAUGAAGGCAUGGCUUAUCAUAGAAUCAUUAAAGUUGGAAAAGAGCACUGUUAUCAUGGAAUCAUAGAAUGGUUUGGGCUGGAAGGAACCUCAAGGAUCAUCCAGCUUCAACCCCCUGCCUGCCAUCAUUUAGUCUGGCCAUUAACUUCUCAUGGAGCAUCCGGAUGGUGAUGCUGGAACAGUGCACUUCUGAUGAGCGGCACAGAAAGCCUCAAGUGGCUGAAAUGGGUGUUGGAAUUGGACUUGGUUGGAGAUCUCUCCUCACCGUGCUUUGAUCCACGUACUCCAAAAGAAGAUGAAAGGGGAAUUUCCCACAGGAAAUGCGGGUUUUGCUUAAAAUACCCCACAUAAAUAGAAAACCAAAAUAAAAAUAUUUGUUGAGUCAAUUGAAAAAAUAAUAUCAAAGGGACUGUUGCUGGAUUGAGGUGAAACGCUGAAGCUCUGCAGCUGUGUGUGCCCCCCGAGCUGCGUGGGGCCAUGGAGCUGACAUGGGACUGGGGCAGCUCCUGACCCACCUUCUGCCCGCAGCACCCCCCUGGGCUGCACCGUGCAGAGGGUGAUCUGUUGGACCUCCACUUAUGUAACACGGCUAAUAUUAACCAGCUGAGUCACGGAAAUUAUGUCAAAAUUUCCUGCGGAUAUUUCAUUAGCUAUUUUUUUUUUUCCUAGUUCAUGCAGAU